GAUGAACGCUGGCGGCGUGCCUAAUACAUGCAAGUCGAGCGAACGGACGAGAAGCUUGCUUCUCUGAUGUUAGCGGCGGACGGGUGAGUAACACGUGGAUAACCUACCUAUAAGACUGGGAUAACUUCGGGAAACCGUAGCUAAUCCCGGAUAAUAUUUUGAACCGCAUGGUUCAAAAGUGAAAGACGGUCUUGCUGUCACUUAUAGAUGGAUCCGCGCUGCAUUAGCUAGUUGGUAAGGUAACGGCUUACCAAGGCAACGAUGCAUAGCCGACCUGAGAGGGUGAUCGGCCACACGGGAACUGAGACACGGUCCAGACUCCUACGGGAGGCAGCAGUAGGGAAUCUUCCGCAAUGGGCGAAAGCCUGACGGAGCAACGCCGCGUGAGUGAUGAAGGUCUUCGGAUCGUAAAACUCUGUUAUUAGGGAAGAACAUAUGUGUAAGUAACUGUGCACAUCUUGACGGUACCUAAUCAGAAAGCCACGGCUAACUACGUG
rnacentral:rRNA from 1 species